rnacentral:rRNA from 1 species
UACGGAGGGGGCUAGCGUUGUUCGGAAUUACUGGGCGUAAAGCGCACGUAGGCGGCUUUGUAAGUUAGAGGUGAAAGCCCGGGGCUCAACUCCGGAAUUGCCUUUAAGACUGCAUCGCUAGAAUUGUGGAGAGGUAAGUGGAAUUCCGAGUGUAGAGGUGAAAUUCGUAGAUAUUCGGAAGAACACCAGUGGCGAAGGCGACUUACUGGACACAUAUUGACGCUGAGGUGCGAAAGCGUGGGGGGCAAACAGG